GCCGAGGUGGCGGAAUCUGGCUAACGCGCGGGCCUUGAGAGCCCGUGUCCCUUCGGGACGUUUGGGUUCAAAUCCCAACCUCGGCG
rnacentral:tRNA from 1 species